GAAGAAGGCCUGUGGAGAAUCGAAUCGUCAAGACCCGCUUUCAUACUAGGGCCUUUUCUUGACUUUUGACUGCGCUCGUCUCGCCCUAAAGAUUAGGAAAUUAUCUUACUGUAGGCCUAGACAAAGAGACUCUUCUUCUCCCUGCCGAUUGAUCCGAGCUCCCACUCUCCUCUCCUUAUCCAGUCGAGCCUCACUUCUGCUCUCCUCUUUGCGUGCUUUAUUCCCUUUC
rnacentral:lncRNA from 1 species